ACACAUGCAAGUCGAACGCGAAAGUAGGGGCAACCCUGCGAGUAGAGUGUUUAACCGGUGAGUAAUACAUCGGAACAUUUCCUGUAGCGGGGGAUAACCUCGAGAAAUCGAGGCUAAUACCGCAUACGUCCUACGGGAGAAAGCGGGGGACCGCAAGGCCUCGCACUAUAGGAGUGGCCGAUGUCGGAUUAGCUAGUUGGCGGGGUAAAAGCCCACCAAGGCUACGAUCCGUAGCUGGUCUGAGAGGAUGAUCUUCCUCACUGGGACUGAGACACGGCCCAGACUCCUACGGGAGGCAGCAGUGGG
rnacentral:sRNA from 1 species